rnacentral:rRNA from 1 species
AUGGCUCAGGAUGAACGCUAGCUACAGGCUAACACAUGCAAGUCGCGGGGCAGCAUGGUCUUAGCUUGCUAAGACUGAUGGCGACCGGCGCACGGGUGAGUAACGCGUAUCCAACCUUCCCCUUAGUAGGGCAUAGCCCGGCGAAAGUCGGAUUAAUACCCUAUGUUCUUCGUAGAUGGCAUCUGAGACGAAGCAAAGGUUAGCGCUAAGGGAUGGGGAUGCGUCUGAUUAGGCAGUCGGCGGGGUAACGGCCCACCGAGCCUUCGAUCAGUAGGGGUUCUGAGAGGAAGGUCCCCCACAUUGGAACUGAGACACGGUCCAAACUCCUACGGGAGGCAGCAGUGAGGAAUAUUGGUCAAUGGGCGAGAGCCUGAACCAGCCAAGUAGCGUGCAGGACGACGGCCCUACGGGUUGUAAACUGCUUUUAUGCGGGGAUAAAGUGCCCUACGUGUAGGGUAUUGCAGGUACCGCAUGAAUAAGGACCGGCUAAUUCCGUGCCAGCAGCAGC